UACUAGAUAGCCUAGCGGUUAAGGCAUCACAUAUGAGUUGUGUCCCACUUAAGGGCCCUUGGUUCAAAUCCGAGUCUAGUCA
rnacentral:tRNA from 1 species